rnacentral:rRNA from 1 species
AGCAGCCGCGGUAAUUCCAGCUCCAAUAGCGUAUAUUAAAGUUGUUGCAGUUAAAAAGCUCGUAGUUGAAUUUCGGGGUUCAUCCGUUGGUCGGGCUUUUUGGUCUGUACUGGCGUGAUGGAUUCCUACCUUCUGAAUAACCAGCAUGUCAUUAAUUUGGUGCGCUGGGGAAGCAGGACUGUUACCUUGAAAAAAUUAGAGUGCUUAAAGCAGGCUAUCGCCUGAAUACAUUAGCAUGGAAUAAUGAAAUAGGACGGCAUGGUUCUAUUUUGUUGGUUUCUAGGAUCACCGUAAUGAUUAAUAGGGAUAGUUGGGGGCAUUAGUAUUCAAUUGUCAGAGGUGAAAUUCUUGGAUUUAUUGAAGACUAACUUCUGCGAAAGCAUUUGCCAAGGAUGUUUUCAUUAAUCAAGAACGAAAGUUAGGGGAUCGAAGACGAUCAGAUACCGUCGU